rnacentral:rRNA from 1 species
UACGAAGGGGGCUAGCGUUGCUCGGAAUUACUGGGCGUAAAGCGCACGUAGGCGGAUUGUUAAGUCGGGGGUGAAAUCCCGGGGCUCAACCCCGGAACCGCCUUUGAUACUGGGCGUCUGGAGUCCGGAAGAGGUUGGUGGAAUUCCGAGUGUAGAGGUGAAAUUCGUAGAUAUUCGGAGGAACACCAGAGGCGAAGGCGGCCAACUGGUCCGGUACUGACGCUGAGGCGCGAAAGCGUGGGGAGCGAACAGG